AUACGGAGGGUGCAAGCGUUACUCGGAAUCACUGGGCGUAAAGCGCGCGCAGGCGGCUAUUUAAGUUGGAUGUGAAAGCCUACGGCUCAACCGUAGAACUGCAUCCAAAACUAUUUAGCUAGAGUGUGAGAGAGGAAGAUGGAAUUAGUUGUGUAGGGGUAAAAUCCGUAGAGAUAACUAGGAAUACCAAAAGCGAAGGCACUCUUCUGGAACACUACUGACGCUGAGGCGCGAAAGCGUGGGGAGCAAACAGAAUUAGAAACCCUAGUAGUCC
rnacentral:rRNA from 1 species